rnacentral:snRNA from 1 species
AUACCUUUCUCGGCCUUUUGGCUAAGAUCAAGUGUAGUAUCUGUUCUUAUCAGUUUAAUAUCUGAUACGUGGGCCAAUAGCCCACACGAUAUUAAAUUUAUGUUUUGAGGGGGAGAGUCCAUCACAGUAGCUUGCUACUGGAACUCUCGAGCGUCGCCCAAGUGUUGCACUAUUUCUUGGGCCCGGCGCACUCCGA